rnacentral:rRNA from 1 species
UACGUAGGGGGCGAGCGUUGUCCGGAUUUAUUGGGCGUAAAGAGCGCGUAGGUGGUUUGUAAAGUCGGAUGUGAAAGUCCAGGGCUCAACCCUGGGAUGCCAUUCGAUACUUGCAAACUAGAGCACGGUAGGGGGAUCUGGAAUUCCUGGUGUAGCGGUGAAAUGCGCAGAUAUCAGGAGGAACACCGGUGGCGAAGGCGGGAUCCUGGGCCGUUGCUGACACUGAGGCGCGAAAGCUGGGGGAGCAAACAGG